UACGUAGGGGGCAAGCGUUGUCCGGAUUUAUUGGGCGUAAAGAGCGUGUAGGCGGUCAGGUAGGUCCGUUGGGAAAACUCGAGGCUCAACCUCGAGACGCCGAUGGAAACCAUCUGACUAGAGUCCGGAAGAGGAGAGUGGAAUUCCUGGUGUAGCGGUGGAAUGCGCAGAUAUCAGGAGGAACACCCGUGGCGAAGGCGGCUCUCUGGAACGCAACUGACGCUGAGACGCGAAAGCGUGGGGAGCAAACAGG
rnacentral:rRNA from 1 species